AUUGAACGCUGGCGGCAUGCCUUACACAUGCAAGUCGAACGGCAGCACGGGAGCAAUCCUGGUGGCGAGUGGCGAACGGGUGAGUAAAGUAUCGGAACGUGCCCAGUCGUGGGGGAUAACGUAGCGAAAGUUACGCUAAUAUCGCAUACGAUCUAUGGAUGAAAGCGGGGGAUCGCAAGAACUCGCGCGAUUGGAGCGGCCGAUAUCAGAUUAGGUAGUUGGUGGGGUAAAGGCUCACCAAGCCGACGAUCUGUAGCUGGUCUGAGAGGACGACCAGCCACACUGGGACUGAGACACGGCCCAGACUCCUACGGGAGGCAGCAGUGGGGAAUUUUGGACAAUGGGCGCAAGCCUGAUCCAGCCAUGCCGCGUGCAGGAUGAAGGCCUUCGGGUUGUAAACUGCUUUUGUACGGAACGAAAAGGUUUGACUUAAUACGUUGGACUCAUGACGGUACCGUAAGAAUAAGCACCGGCUAACUACGUGCCAGCCGCCGCAGUAA
rnacentral:rRNA from 1 species